rnacentral:rRNA from 1 species
AGAGUUUGAUCAUGGCUCAGGAUGAACGCUUGCGGCAGGCUUAACACAUGCAAGUCGAGGGGCAGCGCGGUGUAGCAAUACACUGGCGGCGACCGGCGCACGGGUGCGUAACACGUAUGCAACCUACCCUUUACAGAGGAAUAACCUUUCGAAAGAGAGACUAAUACCUCAUGGUUCCGAGAGAUCGCAUGGUAUUUCGGGUAAAGAUUUAUCGGUAAAGGAUGGGCAUGCGUCCCAUUAGUUAGUUGGCGGGGUAACGGCUCACCAAGACGAUGAUGGGUAGGGGUUCUGAGAGGAUGAUCCCCCACACUGGUACUGAGACACGGACCAGACUCCUACGGGAGGCAGCAGUGAGGAAUAUUGGGCAAUGGAGGCAACUCUGACCCAGCCAUGCCGCGUGCAGGAAGACGGCCUUAUGGGUUGUAAACUGCUUUUCUAUUAGAAGAACUACGGAUACGCGUAUUCGUUUGACGGUAUAAUAGGAAUAAGCAUCGGCUAACUCCGUGCCAGCAGCCGCGGUAAUACGGAGGAUGCGAGCGUUAUCCGGAUUCAUUGGGUUUAAAGGGUGCGUAGGCGGUCUUAUAAGUCAGCGGUGAAAUCUCAUAGCUUAACUAUGAAAGCGCCGUUGAUACUGUUAGACUAGAAUACAGAUGGGGUAGGCGGAAUAUGUAAUGUAGCGGUGAAAUGCGUAGAUAUUACAUAGAACACCGAUCGCGAAGGCAGCUUACCAAGCUGUUAUUGACGCUGAGGCACGAAAGCGUGGGGAUCAAACAGGAUUAGAUACCCUGGGUAGUCCACGCCGUAAACGUUGAUCACUGGUUGUCGGCGAUACACAGUCGGCGGCUGAGCGAAAGUAUUAAGUGAUCCACCUGGGGAGUACGAUCGCAAGGUUGAAACUCAAAGGAAUUGACGGGGGCCCGCACAAGCGGAGGAGCAUGUGGUUUAAUUCGAUGAUACGCGAGGAACCUUACCUGGGCUGGAACCGAUACUGCCGAUAUGUGAAAGCAUAUCUUCCUACGGGACGGUAUUGGAGGUGCUGCAUGGUUGUCGUCAGCUCGUGCCGUGAGGUGUCGGAUUAAGUUCCAUAACGAGCGCAACCCCUACUGUUAGUUGCCAGCGAGUAAUGUCGGGGACUCUAGCAGGACUGCCGGCGCAAGCCGAGAGGAAGGUGGGGAUGACGUCAAAUCAGCACGGCCCUUAUGUCCAGGGCUACACACGUGCUACAAUGGUCGAUACAGAGGGCAGCUACUUGGCGACAAGAUGCGAAUCUCGAAAAUCGAUCUCAGUUCGGAUCGAAGUCUGCAACUCGACUUCGUGAAGUUGGAUUCGCUAGUAAUCGCGCAUCAGCCAUGGCGCGGUGAAUACGUUCCCGGGCCUUGUACACACCGCCCGUCAAGCCAUGGAAGCUGGGGGUACCUAAAGUCCACGACCGCAAGGAGUGGCCUAGGGUAAAACUAGUGACUGGGGCUAAGUCGUAACAAGGUAACC